CUUUACUUUACUCUCUCUCACCCUUGAGUCUUGAGCCCCCUCUCUGCGACUGCGAUCAUCCCUUCCCUUCCUGCAGCUGUUUAGUUUAAACCCUUGUCUCUCUCUCUCUCUCUCUCUUUGGGGAAGCGGCAAUGUCAGACAUAAUCAAAAUAAUAAUUCCAUGGGGAUCCUUACCCGAUGAGAUUCUUACCAAUAUUUUCGUUUUCCUACCCAUCAAAUCCAUAAUCAUCUGUACCUCAGUGUCAAAAGCAUGGAAAUCACUAAUCAAAAACUCAACUUUCAUUUCCACGCAUCUCCACCACUCCCUCAGCAAAAACCAAAACCUCCUCUUCAUCGGCCUCUGCUCAGAGUCAGAGAAUCAGAAAGAAUUUUACGCAUUGCAUAACGAAGAUGAUGCUUAUUUCACUCAACACGCCAGGUUUGAUUACCCUUAUAACAGAAAAUACAGUGUGGUGGGUACUUGUAACGGCCUGCUCCUCCUUUCCGAUGAUACUAACAUUAGCUUCUGUCUUCGGAACCCAUGUGUUGGAAAGUUACCGAAACUUCCUUCACACAAUAUCACCUACGCUACGCAUGGUAGGUUCGGCGCCUCUAUUGGGUUUGGAUUUUAUCCCAAAACUAAAGAUUAUAAAGUGGUCAGGGUUGUGACUUUGCUGGGAAAUUUCGACGUUGGAAAUACUCGACCCCAGGUUGAGAUUUACACACUCUCCACUGGUCAAUGGAGAAUGCUUAGGACUGAUUUGGCUACCAUAUGCGCUUUAAUUCGGACUAACCCACAGACCUUUAUCAACGGGGCUCUGCAUUGGGUUGCAUUUAGAUUUAGUGAUAAUAACAUUCAUAAUUUUGUUCUGGUUUUCGAUUUGGGUGAGGAGGUUUUCCAUGAGAUACUCCUGCCAGAUUUUCGAGGUCAUAGGGGUCUGAUCUCCGGUACUAUUUCUGUAUAUAGGAAUUCCAUUGCCUUCUUUCAAAAGGGUAAUGACUUCCUCCAUAUCUCGUUGAUGAAAGAGUAUGGUGUUGUGUCCUCGUGGGCUCAAGUUUUUAGUUCACCUCUAGAUUUCUUUGGUGCAAGUGAUAGCAUACAGAGGGCACUAGGUUUUCGAAGGAAUGGUGAGGUUAUAUUAAAAUUGGAUGGAGGACGCCUCAUUUCGCUGGAUCUUGAGACUCGAGAGAUUAAGGAUCUUAGGAUUAUGGGAUAUAAGAAAACUAUUGUUGAUUAUUAUGUGGAGAGUCUAGUUUUGCUCGACCAACAGUGAAGAUACAUAAUUACUGAGGAAAUAGUGCAUCUGUUCGGUUUCUUAUCAGAUUCUAAUGAAUGGUUACCCAGGGACAGAUCAGGGAAUAAGUGGAUUAUGGAUUGCUACAUCAGAACUGUGUCAUCUAAAAGUGAAGCAACUUUCAUUUCACUUAGAGAACCGAUGAUGGCAAUCUAGAGAAAGGGACUUCAUAGUGCCAUUGUGCUGAUGCAGAAUAAAAACUUCUUGUAAAAGCUCCUUGAAGAUGGUUGCAUAAAUUGGAGAUUGGAACCUGUUUUCGAAGUUAUAAGGGUAUUAAGGAGUGAGUUUGGUGAUGUACUUAAUUAUGUAGAUAGAGAAUAUUGGAAUGGGUUGUUGAAUUAGUUUAAUGCUGUUUCAGAUUAUAUUAAUAUAACCUGGGAGGGGCAUAGUUUGCUGGUGAUGUUUAUGUUGUUCUCAGACUUUGCAUUUGUGCU